GAAGGGUCGAACGAGUAGGAAUAUACCUGGUAGUGGGGGACAACCCGGCGAAAGCGGACAAUUACCGCUUACGAUCUACGGAUGAAAGCAGGGGAGCGCACGGCCUUGGGCUAUCAGAAUAGCCUGGGCCGAAUUAGCUAGUUGGUGAGGUAAUGGCUCACCAAGGCAACGAUCCGUAGCUGGUUUGAGAGAACGACCAGCCACCCUGGGACUGAUACACGCCCCAGACCCCUACGCGUUGCACUGUGGAGAAUAUUGUACAAUGCGGGCUACCCUGAUCGAGCAAUGCAGUGUGUGUGAAGAAUGCCUUCGUGUUGUAAAGCACUUUCGAUGGGAAUUAACAAGCCAGAUCUAACACGUCUGCCCCUGAUGGUACCCAGAGAAGAUGCACCGCCUAACUCUGUGCCAGCAGCCGCGAUAAUACAGAGCGUGCACGCGUUCUUCGGAAUUACUGGGCGUAAAGGUGUGUAGGUUGGUUUGUUAUGUCAGGUGUGAAAUCCCUGUGCUCCCGUAGGAAUUGCACUUGAUACUGGCAUGACUCGAGUGUGGUAGAGCCAGUGGAAUUCCGUCAUGAAGCUGCUGAAAUGCGUAGGAUAUGCUGGAGGAACAUCUAGUGGCGAAGGCGGCUACCUCGUACCAAUCACUGACAGCUGAGGCAUCGAAAGCGUGGGUGAGCCAUACUGCCAUUAGCAUACUCGUGGUUAUGUCGACGCACCUAUAUCGAUGAGAACUAGACGUCUGGCGGUUUAUCCUCUUGAUGUCGGAAGACUAACGCAGUAUGUACCCCGCUGUCGAGUACGGGUCGCCAGAUU
rnacentral:rRNA from 1 species